AAAAAGAAAACAGGCAAAGACAUGAUUGCCCAAAGCAAAAGAAAUAAUAAAACUGAAAAAAAAUAAAGCCUACUCCUACUAAUAUCAGUCGACAGUUACAGCUAUCUUCUUAAUGUCACGUCUUUUCAUCUGAACUGCAACAGUCGUUGGGAAAGCAGAUAAGCUCAAAUCUCAUCAAAUCUUUUAAUCUCCUGCUACAAGAUUUCAAAAAGAACCGAUUCUUAUGCUCUAAUCUGGUGUUCUCUUCCUAUUCCUCUCCACCGCUCUUUGAACACAGUCUAGGAUGAUUUUCUCCAGGUUUUGGAUAUCUCUGAUGAAUGCUCCGAUGAUCGAUCUAUCAUUAUCUAGACUCUGACAUUUCUUGAUAGUAGUUCUUGAAUCUCCCAUGAUACUGCAUGUAGUUAAACCCAUGGAAAUACCUAGCCUUGUUGCCUCUAAUCCUGCAAGGGCCUUCGCCGCAAAUGGUGAAGCAACAUCAGCAUGGAUUAUCAUUUGGAAGCCAAGAUUCCUCUGAUCUGAAGCAUUGUUGAUUGAAGGUUGCAUCAAAAUAAAUGGCUAGACUCAUUCUCUGUUCAACAUGUUUGAGAUCUCUAUUAGCAGCUAAGCUAAGUUUUCUCUCCUCUACUCCUUUCAACUCUGAGACAUAGCUAAUUAUUUGGUUGGAGAUUUCAGUGCUUGUUAUUUUCCUAUUUUCAUAAAGGAAUUUAUUUUGACUUGUCAAGAUAAGCCAUACAUACAACACUGUUCACUUGUCCCCUUAUUGAAAACCCAGGUAAACCACUCCCAAAUACCUUCAUUAUUUCUAUCAAGCACCCAAGACAUCUGUCAAUUUCUCCAUACUGCCUUUGUUGUAAGGCACUGCAAAAAAAUGUGGAAACUGUCUUCUUCAGUAAAACGACAUCUGGGACAACGAGUUUCACUAACUACUCGUUUAGUUUUAAGAUUCAUAAAAGUAGGGAUGUAGUUCCAAGAAAUAUUCCAAACUGUAAUUUUGAUUUUUGAGGGGUUAUGUAAAUUCCACAAUUUUUUUGUGAAAAGCUUUAUUCUCUGCCUGUAAAACAUAAUUACUAGGAUCCAGUGUAGACCUCUGUAAUAGUUUGUACGCACUCUUAAUGGAGAAAAUUCCAGAUGGUUCCCCACCCCAUAAUAUCGUCAUGCUCGGUUCUUGCCAGAGGAAUCCUCCUAUUUUGUUUGCAAUAUCAGCAUUAAAGGUACUAACCAAUAAUUCUGUUUUCCAUGUUCUGCUUUCUUUAUCAAUCAAGUCUGAAACAAACUCUAUAUUAACAUUACUCCUUUGAUUUUUCUAACUAUCGACCUCAACUUUCGGUAUCCAGCUAUCAAACCAGACUGAAAUACAAUCCCCUUUAUCGACCUUCUAGCACAAUCCCUUUUCCAGAAGUCCUUUUGCUGCCCAAACACUCUUCCAAUUGAGUGAAGAGUAUCAAAGCUAGCUCAGACAUCGGGGAUCAUCAAGAACCAUAAUCACACUAUCGAAUCAACUCGUUGGUACUUUUGAAGCUUUGUAUAUAUGGUAUAUGGCAUGUAUAGGCUAGUGUUAUUUUAGUAUGUUUUGAGUCAUGAUAUCAGCCAUGAGAUUUGGCUUGUAAAUGUAGUAUGUAUAAUUAUGUGUUUGGUAAAUGAUAUAUGUGAUGUAUAUAAUGCUUUAUGAGUUGUUUUGGUCUAUUUUGAAUGUGGAAUUGAGUAGUUAAAAUGGUUGAUAA